UAACACAUUAAACUUAAGUUGAGCUAGAAGAGUUGAGUUAGUCUCAACAACAAACCUGAAAGGUGGAUUAAAGGAACAUAAAUCAGAUUUUCUAAGACACCCAUGUUCUUCACAGAAUAAAUUCUUCCAAUUUAUAAUAUCUCUAAUAGAGUUAUGGCAAUCUUUAACAACACAUGUGUCUACCAUAGUUUAAAAGAAAUGCUUGAUUUGGGUUAAAACGCAACAACGUCCGUACUAUAUACUGUUUUGAUUUUGGUCGAAAAAAUUAUACAAUAUAAGGACCGGAACUGACAUAACAAAAAGGUGUAUUGUUAUUGCGAGAAUGUUUAAAUGAAGUUUUGUUGGACUCUCUAACAGCUAGUUGGAGUGGUUAAUCUGUUCCUUUACAUGAUAAUGUAUACUCAGAUGCAUCUUGUAAUGUGCAAUUGCAAGUUUCCAAAUACAUGCAAAGUAAAGUAAAGAAAACAAUACUUUUCAAUUAGCUGUUGGCGACAUGGUACAUGUAUUAAAGUCUUCUGUCACAGUUGACUCAGCAAGAAUGAAGACAUUGAUACACUUUUGUAUUAUGGAACACACAAGUUGGCAGUUCCUCGCCCACUGCCACCCAAAUACAGGUAUAAGAAAUCAUUAUCUGUACGUAACAGACGAUGGAGACGAAGUGAUUAUUAUGUGUGGCAAAAGAUUAUUUUUUGAAGUUUUUCAUUUUCUGACUUCGUGAUGGAAUUUAUUGGAGUACACUUUUUUUGGACAUAGGAGGAGUAUUGCCGCUACAAACAUGAACAAUAAUAAAACAUUCCAAAGAAUAAUUUGUUAUUUCAACGAUUAGAUUUGUUGUUUAAAUGUAUAAAUGC